rnacentral:rRNA from 2 species
UGGGCGUAAGGGCUCGCAGGCGGUUUCUUAAGUCUGAUGUGAAAGCCCCCGGCUCAACCGGGGAGGGUCAUUGGAAACUGGGGAACUUGAGUGCAGAAGAGGAGAGUGGAAUUCCACGUGUAGCGGUGAAAUGCGUAGAGAUGUGGAGGAACACCAGUGGCGAAGGCGACUCUCUGGUCUGUAACUGACGCUGAGGAGCGAAAGCGUGGGGAGCGAACAGGAUUAGAUACCCUGGUAGUCCACGCCGUAAACGAUGAGUGCUAAGUGUUAGGGGGUUUCCGCCCCUUAGUGCUGCAGCUAACGCAUUAAGCACUCCGCCUGGGGAGUACGGUCGCAAGACUGAAACUCAAAGGAAUUGACGGGGGCCCGCACAAGCGGUGGAGCAUGUGGUUUAAUUCGAAGCAACGCGAAGAACCUUACCAGGUCUUGACAUCCUCUGACAAUCCUAGAGAUAGGACGUCCCCUUCGGGGCAGAGUGACAGGUGGUGCAUGGUUGUCGUCAGCUCGUGUCGUGAGAUGUUGGGUUAAGUCCCGCAACGAGCGCAACCCUUGAUCUUA